rnacentral:sRNA from 1 species
UAAUUGGAUAACAACCUUGUUAAAUAA